CUGAGCACUCUAGACGAACUGCCGUUGACAAAACGGAGGAAGGUGGGGAUGACGUCAAAUCAUCAUGCCCCUUAUGUUCUGGGCUACACACGUGCUACAAUGGCCGGUACAGACGGAGGCGAAGCCGCGAGGCGGAGCAAAUCCGAAAAAAGCCGGUCUCAGUUCGGAUUGCAGGCUGCAAUUCGCCUGCAUGAAGUCGGAAUCGCUAGUAAUCGCAGGUCAGCAUACUGCGGUGAAUACGUUCCCGGGCCUU
rnacentral:rRNA from 1 species